rnacentral:lncRNA from 1 species
GAAUGCAAAGAGAAUGGAGAUAUUGUGCUACAUGGUUUCUCUACAGAUUCGCUAAUUAAGUUGACUGCUGUCGCCAAUGACUCGUGUAUAGAUCAGAUAUACACAUCGCAUGCUUUGGGCCAUAUAACAAUUCCAAAGGAGUGCACGAAUGGAACAAAUGUAACGGUAAUACAAUCUUUAUGUUCCGUCUAAUCGUUUGAUUUAUUUAAUUUUGUUUCAUUUGGGUCAAGCAUUGACCAAUAUUACAAGCAAUUACAACACACAAUUCUAUUAGUAAGUUAAUCUGGUAAAUGAAGACUGACAU